rnacentral:ribozyme from 13 species
AGGAAGAGAAAGAGAGAGAGAGAGAGGGUCAAUUGACAUCUAUUUUCUUCAACCUGUUUUUCAUUUCGUUCUUUGUUUUUUUUGGUUUGCUCUCUCUCUCAUUGUUGUUUUUUUUGUUACAGCA